UGCACGAGCAGCAUCGCGGUUGUCUCAUGAUUGUCUCAACGUUAUCCCGAACGACAGCAUCCUGGAUACAAAAAGUUUAUUGCGGUUCAUCGGCGGCUCGCUGAGACAGGCAUGUUUAAGAUCAAGAUGCAUGAUACUGGUGUUGCUCGAACCGUAAGAACGGUCGAAUUUGAAGAAGAGGUGCUUCAGCGAGUUGCCGACCAUCAAAUAGCACACGUGACGUCGCUAAGAAUAUGAAUACGAGUAACGCUUCUGUCUGGCGGGUACUACACGAGCAACAACUCCAUCCUUACCACUUCCAGAAAGUUCAAGGUAUGACUCCAGCCGAUUAUCAUCCUAGAGUUCAAUUGUGUCGAUGGCUUUUGGAUCACAUCAUUGCACAACCAAAUUUUUUACGAUAUGUUUUGUGGACCGAUGAAGCCUCUUUCACAAGAGACGGUAUUUUUAAUAGUAGGAAUAGCCAUGUUUGGGGCGAAGAAAAUCCUUAUGCAAUUUUUCCAAGAAAACAUCAGAAUCAUUGAUCUGUUAAUGUAUGGGCAGGCAUUGUUGAUCAUUAUUUAAUUGCUUGCCAUACCUUCUACCGGAACAAUUAACAGGACCUAUUUAUCUGCGUUUCUUGGAGGAAGUUCUCCCAGAACUCCUUGAAAAUGUUCCACUAAACGUUAGACAGCAAAUGUGGUUUCAGCAUGAUGGAGCACCGGCUCACUUUGCUGUACAAGUACGCGAGUAUUUGGCUCAGCGGUUUGGGCACCGUUGGAUUGCCAGAGGUGGAGCAGUUUCUUGGCCUCCUAGGUCACCCGAUUUAAGGUCGCUCGAUUUUUUCUUGUCGGGACAUGUAAAGUCUUUAGUCUACGAAACUCCAGUAGAAUCAGAGCUAGACUUAAUUGGACGAAUAACAGCAGCAUUUGAAAUCAUUCAAAACGAGGAUCAAAUUUUUAGUGUAGUCUGCCGAAAUCAUGUGCGGCGUUUCAAUCGGUGUAUUGAGGUUGGAGGAAGACAUUUUGAACAAUUCUUGUGAUGGUAUCAUAUACAAAAGGGCCGUAGUGGCGUAGUGACACAUGGGUUCCUAUACUCAAAUGGAUUCUACUGUUGCACUGAACAACCCCUAGAAGUUUGAUCCCAUAGUUCUGAAACACCCUGUAUAAUCUAGAGAUAUUGGAUGCUCUAAAUAAUUUGAAAAAAAUUACAAAAUAUGAUAUGGUUUACGUAAUACCUGGAAUUAAAUAUGAAAUGGGUAAAAAAAUUUGUAUACCGAAUAAAUUCUGAAAUGGUAAAGUACUCAUUAAUACGUUGGUCAGGUGGGAGGUAAAUGCCAGAACAUUAUAUUCAAUUUCUUUUUAGCUGAACUGAGCCAGAUAGUAGUAUAGCUCAUCCGCGACUGCGUCACCAAAUCUGAUUUAAUAUUAUUGCGAAUUACAAUGAUGACUCCUCUAUUUCAGCUUUUAUUAGUGGGUAAGAUAUUUCGAUCUCUGGGAUAUAUGCAAUAUGAUUCUAAACCAAAUUCAGAAUCCAUAAGACCAGGUGUAAGCGAAGUUCCAAAGAGCAUCUGAGCCAGUUCAGUGAGCUUGGUUCGAAGUCCAUUAACAUUUUGGUAGUAGACGAUGAUCCUGCCUUCUAUGUUCUCCUUGUCCUUCAAUGGUAACUGCUAAGAACAUGUUUAUUUGAGGGCUGUCUUACUAGAACUGACUACCAGGUUGCAGGUUUCUUUUAUUAUCACCAUUACUGCUCCAGCUGAGUAUGCUCUGGCACAUUGUGUAGCUAAGGAUUUAGCUACACAAUUCUUAUUCAUUUUCCGUAUUAAGUUCGGUAAACUUUAAGACCUGCGUCUGUCUAACCCCAGAGUCGGAAAAGCACUCAAGAUAAUCGAUAAAGAGACUAAUAGAUAUUCUACCUGGUUACGAAAGAAGCUUCAUACCAGAAGGACAUUUAGGACGCUUUGUGUUGUAUAAAGGAGGAGUUGUUGCCGAGAAUCUAAGAAGUCUAGCAAUUUCCAAACUCGCCUGCGGGGUCGGUAGCCGAUAAGUCUGGAAGUAAGAACUGGAGGAUGAUUCAGACAGAAUUUACAAUUUCUGUCGGAAUGUUCAAAAAAGCCCCCUGGUGGCAUGUGAAACUAAUAAAACCUUUGAAUAGUCAAUACAAUACAUACAUGCCAUAGACAACAAAACAAGUAUUUCAUUAAAAUCAUCUUUAGUCCUUAUAAAAUUCAUCCAAGCUGUAAUAUGCUUUACUCAAUAAAAAUGUCUUAACUACCUUA